AUCGAAGCUAAGACGGAAGGAAGCGAAGCGAGGCGGAAGUACACAUCAGGCCGGGAAGCGAUUGACCACCAGAGUGGAGCGGCAGCCAAUCGGAAAGGAGCGGAGGCGGGACGAGGGAGGAGCCCGCUUCUUUUUAAAGCGGCCGCGGUGGUGCGAGGGCGUGGUGGAGCUUCGUGUGUGGUGCUGUGGUUUGCAGGGGGGUUUGGGCCUGUGGGAAGGGCGCGGUGUGGGGCCCCUCUGGGCUGACUUUCUCGGCUUGUGAGUGUGUGUCCUGAGGUGUAUGCCGUGCUGGGAGUGUUCCUCAAGUUUCCUUCUGCAGAGGAAUACCGAGUUUAAUCUCGCUCCUCAGUCCUUUGAGGUCUUUAGAUUGGAAAUGCCAAGCACACUUUGAGACAGUGUUUAUAAACAAAUGCCAUGCACAUGGCGUGUGGAGAGGAUGUGGAAGCAGCGGGUCUGAGGCUGUAGUGAGAACAUGACACGUCUGUCUUUGCUAUUUAAAAAACACUGUUAUAUAUUUAGCUGGUUCAGUCGGAGUCCUUGUACCCUUCAGUAUGGCAAAGAUAAAUGUCAUUCACUGGGAGAGGGACUGCAAUGCCCAGUCCUAUCGGGAGGGUUUCUGGGAAAUUUCUUUUCUUGUUCUAUAGUUUUCUUGCAAAGAAUUAUGAAAAUAACUGACAAAUGUCACAUUUCAUUUGGGGAAUUUGUUCUGUGUCCUCUCCCAUCCCCUUGCUCUCUGCUUGAAUACAGGACUCGCUGAACUGCAGUCCUGCAAUGUCUGUUGUCCAACUCCCAAAGGCUCAAUGUGCCCACAGGUAUCCAUAUAGACAAGGUUGUUUCCAGAGCCAGCAGGUUCACAUUUGCCCCAAAACGUGCAAUUAGAAUCUCUCCUUCCUGCUUCCUUUAUGGUUUGUUUCUGCAGUUUGAGGCUUUGAGGUGUGUUUCUGUAUUGCAAGGCUGGAACAGUGGUGGUGAACAACUGGAGAAGUCAAGGGAUAUGUGUACGGCUAUUACUAAAUGCAAAGCUGGGAAUCUCAUGCCCCUCAGGCAGGAACCACUUUUUCCCAGUGUGAUUCAUAUUUGUGUGUUAUUUGUACAAUGCACAGUGAUAACUGUGUGAUCCAUGAUAAGAUCAUAAUCCCUGGGAAGCCCUAUGUACCCUAGGGAAGAUAUAAGCCUGGCUUAUGAGCAGCACUGGAUAUUACCUGACUCAGAAGUCAUGCACAACUUCUAUGAGGGUUGAAGAUGUAUAUCUUGUAUCCCACACCGAGUUUUUCCUAACGUCAGGCUGGAAUAAAAUCUUCUGCCUUACCCUGCUAAUUAUAUUACUUAUUGUGCUGACUUUCUGUCUAGCUUUGUGCUGUGGUCCAUUAGAGUAAGAAAAACUGGCUUCAGGAAGUGGAGUUGUUUCCUCCCUCCCACAAGAACAGGAGGUUAUCUGCUUCCUAGAGGUUCCAGGGAAAGAAACCCGAGUCAGAGGUUGUCUUACAACUCUGGAAAAAAAAAUGGCUGUAGAUUUCUGGAAUGGGAAGGGCUGUGGGGCCCUGCUCCUUAACUGUUCACUGCAGCAACAGCAGUAUAAGCCUCCUCCUCUGUCUUCCAAGAACUCAUCAUUAGGCCGAAGGAGAAGGCUUGCACCAAUUGGUUAGGUGUUUAUUCACAUGCAUUCAAAAGCCAUUUUUAAAACGCUAUAGAUAUCAGCCAGACCCCUGUGAGUGUGAGAGUGUGGGUGUGUGCAGGCGUACGCUGUUUAUUCUACAGCGUACUCUGUCUACUAUAUUGCAGCUUCUCCACGACCUGCUCAGAGACGUGACUAAUAUAUCACAUGUUGUUUAUGCUGUCUUCUCUCAGAGGAAGGCACUGUGCUCUGUGGAGUGUUUUGGAGAAGUGUUUAACGCGUUGCUGUGCUAUCAGAGGCAGGUCACCGAUGUGAUGCUCUGAGCGGAAGGCAGUAAACUCUGAUGGUGUUUCAUUCUGGAGUUUAUUUCCCUUACUCACCUGUAUCCUGUGGGAUCACAGAGUGGAAUGCAAAUAUGAAGCUUUAUCUCCACGUGCUUCACACUGUAAUGCAGAUGAUUGGUUUUUCUCUUAAAAAAAAAAAUGUAGGGCCAAACUCUAAAGCUGUAUUCUGGCAGUCCUUGUCACAGGAGGAGGUGUACAGAUGUUCCUCCUCAACCAGAAGAACUCUUCCAGAGCCACGGUGCUGCUCCAUGCAGCCAAGGUCAGCCCAGCUCAGCCCCAUGCUGCAGCACUCCAGUGUUGGGUCAGUUCUGGUGCUGGGCUCCCAUUCCAGCAGUGCUGCUGUGGGUGGCACAGUGCAGCUCUUGUCAGUGCCCCAUUUCUGCCCUGCAGCCUGGUGGUGUGAGCAUUUCUAAGCAUUUUCUGUGUGGGACUUGCACAACUUCUAACAGGGCUGUCCAGCAACUUCCCACAUUGACCCCAAAGCUGUUGGUGCUGCUGUCAGCUCGUGUGGGGUGGCUCUCAGACGCGUUGGUGCCAUCAAGCAGCCGGCUGAAGGUUUCGUGCUGCUGAGCGAAGCGUAGAACAUUGACAUCUCCUGCAGGCUUGCUACCCAGCCAUGUCAUACAUAAGCUGGUUUGGGGCCCAGCUGUCCAUGUCCCCAUCCUUCCCGUUCCUGGAGGAAUCCCAUGGCAAAGGCCUGGACCUCUCUCUCCAUGGGGUUGUGCUUUUGUAGAGCUGGUUCUUCCUUUGCCGCGCAUCCCCCUCCCCUGAGGUCCUGCGGCCUUUGGACACCGGGUUCCGUGCAGACAGAGCGCUCCAGAGCUGCGGGCAGGGGGAGGCCGACAGCGGCCCGCGCCCGCUAAGCCCCCGCCGCCCCGAGGAGCGGGCGGUG